rnacentral:rRNA from 1 species
CCUACGGGAGGCAGCAGUGGGGAAUAUUGGACAAUGGGGGCAACCCUGAUCCAGCAAUACCGCGUGUGUGAAGAAGGCCUGCGGGUUGUAAAGCACUUUCAAUUGUGAAGAAAAGAUUAAGGUUAAUAACCUUAGACCGUGACGUUAACUUUAGAAGAAGCACCGGCUAACUCCGUGCCAGCAGCCGCGGUAAU